AGCAUAUCAAUAAGCGGAGGAAAAGAAACCAACAGGGAUUGCCCCAGUAACGGCGAGUGAAGCGGCAACAGCUCAAAUUUGAAAUCUGGCCUUCUGGUCCGAAUUGUAAUUUGUAGAGGAUGCUUUUGGUGCGGUACCUUUCGAGUUCCUUGGAACAGGACGCCUUAGAGGGUGAGAGCCCCGUACGAUUGGAUACCUAGCCUCUGUAAAGCUCCUUCGACGAGUCGAGUAGUUUGGGAAUGCUGCUCUAAAUGGGAGGUAAAUUUCUUCUAAAGCUAAAUACCGGCCAGAGACCGAUAGCGCACAAGUAGAGUGAUCGAAAGAUGAAAAGCACUUUGAAAAGAGGGUUAAAUAGCACGUGAAAUUGUUGAAAGGGAAGGGCUUAUCACCAGACCUUUGCCUUGCGGAUCAUCCGGUGUUCUCACCGGUGCACUUCGCUUGGUCGAGGCCAGCAUCGAUUUCUGUAGGGGGACAAAGACUUUAGGAAUGUGACUCCUCCGGGAGUGUUAUAGCCUAUUGUGUAAUACCCUUACGGGGAUCGAGGUCCGCGCUUUUGCUAGGAUGCUGGCAUAAUGGUGAUCAACCACCCGUCUUGAAACACGGACCAAGGAGUCGAACAUUUAUGCGAGUGUUUGGGUGUUAAACCCUCACGCGUAAUGAAAGUGAACGGAGGUGAGAGCCUUUUAGGUGCAUCAUCGACCGAUCCUGAUGUCUUCGGAUGGAUUUGAGUAAGAGCAUAACUGUUCGGACCCGAAAGAUGGUGAACUAUGCGUGGAUAGGGUGAAGCCAGAGGAAACUCUGGUGGAGGCUCGCAGCGGUUCUGACGUGCAAAUCGAUCGUCAAAUCUGCGCAUGGGGGCGAAAGACUAAUCG
rnacentral:rRNA from 1 species